UCACUUGGCUAGAGCUGAGCCACGAAUUUGACUCUGAGCAUCUAGGAUGAAAAAGAAGAACUGGCACCUAUGCCAUCUCUGCCCCUCGGGACUGACUACUUUGAAUGCCCCACCCCACUUAGUCCAUAGUGGUGCCCACCUCUGGUUAAUGGAGCUGAGGCUGCUGAACCAAAG
rnacentral:lncRNA from 1 species